AUGCUUGCUUCAGCAGCACAUAUACUAAAAUUGGAAUGAUACAGAGAAGAUUAGCAUGGCCCCUGUGCAAGGAUGAUGCAAAUUCAUGAAAUGUUCCAUAUUUUU
ensembl:snRNA U6 U6 spliceosomal RNA